UAGGCGUAACUUCCUUAAGGACUGGUGUGGACAUGUCCCCACCAAUCUUGACCGGUAGGGGGACAGUCCCCACCAAUAUUUUGUACAUGUAUUUUACUUUCGGUGCUGUGUAUAUCUGAUUAAAACUCCAUUCAGGCCGCUCCUCAGAAAGAAAAUAAAAAAGUCCUCCCCGCUGCUCACCGUCCGCAAACCCCGACCAAAAAAAAAAAAAACUUCGCCGCUCCUCAGGAAAAAAAAAAUUGUUGCCUCUCGCUUUCUUCACCAAACAGCAGCAACGUGUAAGUUUUUUUGGGCGAAUUAAAAUGAGUAACAAAACAUGACAGCAUUUAAUGCAGGUUAUUCUUCUUUCUAACAGGGAACAAAUGUAAUUCAGAUCGCUUCCUCAGUGGAAGAUGCUGCGGGUUUUCAGCAGGCCACAAGCAUGCUAACCGAUUCAGGGAUAGCAGUGGACUCAGACUUGCAGGUGAGAGGGACUUGUGGAAAUAUUAAGACCUAAUUUUACUCAGGAGAGACUUAAAGUAGUAAAAGAAUAGAGAAUAGUGUAAAAAUAAGUGAAUACCUUAUUUAAAAUAUAACUGAACCGUUGGAAAAAAAAAA